rnacentral:rRNA from 1 species
AAGAUAAUGACGGUACCCGCAGAAGAAGCCCCGGCUAACUCCGUGCCAGCAGCCGCGGUAAUACGGAGGGUGCAAGCGUUGUCCGGAAUCAUUGGGUGUAAAGGGUGCGUAGGUGGGAGCCUAAGUCUGUGGUGAAAUCUUGCCGCUUAACGGUAAAAUUGCCAUGGAUACUGGGUUUCUUGAGUACAGAAGAGGUCGGUGGAAUUCGUAGUGUAGCGGUGAAAUGCAUAGAUAUUACGAAGAACAUCAGUGGCGAAGGCGGCCGGCUGGACUGUAACUGACGCUGAGGCACGAAAGCGUGGGGAGCGAACAGGAUUAGAUACCCUGGUAGUCCACGCUGUAAACGAUGCAUACUAGUUGUUGGUCCUUUGGGGCCAGUGAUGCAGUUAACGCAGUAAGUAUGCCACCUGGGGAGUACGUUCGCAAGAAUGAAACUCAAAGGAAUUGACGGGGGCCCGCACAAGCG